rnacentral:rRNA from 1 species
CGCAACCCUUGUCACUAGUUGCCAUCAUUUAGUUGGGCACUCUAGUGAGACUGCCGGUGACAAACCGGAGGAAGUGGGGAUGACGUCAAGUCCUCAUGGCCCUUAUGGGUAGGGCUUCACACGUCAUACAAUGGUCGGUACAGAGGGUUGCCAAGCCGCGAGGUGGAGCCAAUCCCUUAAAGCCGAUCGUAGUCCGGAUCGUAGUCUGCAACUCGACUACGUGAAGUCGGAAUCGCUAGUAAUCGCAGAUCAGCAUGCUGCGGUGAAUACGUUCCCGGGUCUU